rnacentral:piRNA from 1 species
AUUAGAUAUGUAGGUAGACAGAGA